rnacentral:rRNA from 1 species
AUUGAACGCUGGCGGCGGGCCUAACACAUGCAAGUCGAGCGGAGCGGCGGACGGGUGAGUAAUGCCUAGGAAUCUGCCUGGUAGCGGUGGAUAACGUCCGGGAACGAGCGCUAAUACCGCAUACUAUCAGAUGAGCCUCGGUCGGAUUAGCUAGUUGGUGGGGUAAAGGCCUACCAAGGCGACGAUCCGUCACUGGUCGUAGAGGAUGGUCAGGCACAUGGGAACUGAGACACGGUCCAGGCGCCUACGAGAGGCAGCAGUGGGGAAUAUGGGACAAUGGGCGAAAGCCUUAUCCAGCCAUGCCGCGUUUGUGAAGAAGGGCUUCGGAUGGUAAAGCACGUUAAGUUGGGAGGCGUUACCAACAGAAUAAGCACCGGCUAACUUCGUGCCAGCAGCCGCGGUAAUAC